AGCUAGCUAGCUAGCCAGCCAAUGUAGCCAGGUUAAUGAUACCACAAAUGUUAGCACGCUAAAACGUAGAUAACAUUGAUUUAGCUCGGUUUAAGAAGAUGUUUAUGAAUAAAACGUUACUAACGAUAGCUAAUCCACCGACCGUUAGAAAUGUACGGACAUUAUUAUUAUUGGAUAUUUUCUGGCUGAAAAGUGAACAGAAAAAGGAGGGAAAUUUGUAUUCAGCUAUGACGUAGCCUAUUUUGAAUGCUCACGUUUCCAUGUUGGAUGUAUUUUUAAUUGUUUGUUAACGUUACUAAAAGUUAUGUAUUAAGUACUUUAUGUAGUUCCUUUUAAAUAAAAAAUGCAAAAAUGUAAUGCUGACAAAUCGCCGGUUCCGCCCGGGGCUGUGGUGUACCUCUGAUUUAUACACAACUCCCUGGAAGUUAUCUCUGUACAUUUAUUUUUAAGGAUGAAUAUACAGAAAAAAUGUGUAGAGUAGAUUACACUCGUUUUUAAAGGAGGGAAAUUUGGGAGGGAAAAUCUAUUUUUUUUUUUUUUAGGUAUAACCUUUUACAUAAAUCAGGCUUUGAAUGAUAUAUGAAUUAAUCCCUAAUGUAAAAACCUUAACAAUAUAGAGAGGAAGGAAACAAAUAGACAGGGUAAAAUAAACAUGUAAUUGUGUAUCUGUUUUUUUGUAAUAGUCUGAAAGAAGAAAAAUAGCCCUCAGCCUCAGCAGCAUCAGCCUCCUCCUCAACACACACAGGAGCAGCUAGACCCUGUUGGGGAGCAGCCUCCGUCCAUGCUGCUGGACCAGAGUCAGGAACAAACCUGAAAAACCUCUUCCGGGGCAGUGGACGUAGCCCUGGAAUAAGGAACCUGAAAUUCCCUCCUUCAAUUGAAGACCUCCAGGACUACCAGCGGUACCACGAGGGCAGCUGCCCCCCUUCCAAGCAGCUGGAAAAUGCACAGUCCAAAGUGUCGAGGGUCAGGUCUUUUAUAUUUUACCUGGCAAAGGGACAGACUGUAUUGUUCAGAUUGCUAUUUUAAGGAACAUUGAUGGCAUCCAAAAGUACACAGCCCACCUCCAGUCCCCAGGCAAGACCAUCACAACGGCACAUUUCUACCUGAGAACCAUACAGCAGUUCCUCAAAUAC